rnacentral:rRNA from 1 species
CGAACGCUGGCGGCAGGCCUACCACAUGCAAGUCGAGCGAGGACUUCGGUUCUAGCGGCGGACGGGUGAGUAACGCGUGGGAAUGUGCCCUUCUCUACGGAAUAGCCCUGGGAAACUGGGAGUAAUACCGUAUACGCCCUAUUGGGGAAAGAUUUAUCGGAGAAGGAUCAGCCCGCGUUGGAUUAGGUAGUUGGUGGGGUAAUGGCCUACCAAGCCGACGAUCCAUAGCUGGUUUGAGAGGAUGAUCAGCCACACUGGGACUGAGACACGGCCCAGACUCCUACGGGAGGCAGCAGUGGGGAAUCUUAGACAAUGGGGGCAACCCUGAUCUAGCCAUGCCGCGCGAGUGAUGAAGGCCUUAGGGUUGUAAAGCUCUUUCAGCUGGGAAGAUAAUGACGGUACCAGCAGAAGAAGCCCCGGCUAACUCCGUG